AUGAAUCUCUUAGCAUGGAACUGUCGAGGCUUGGGGUUGGAAUCGACAGUUGGCGAAUUACGGGACCUGAUACAGUCACACAACCCAGCGGUGGUAUUUCUCAGUGAAACAAUAAAGUCAGCAAAAGCAAUGGAAAGACUGUAAUGGAGUUUGGGUUUCCGAAGUGGAGUAGCGGUGGAUUGCAAUGGAAGAAGUGGGGGGCUUGCCUUGUGGCGGAGAGAUCAUAUCCAGGUCACGGUGAGGCCAUGGUGCCAAUACUUUCUUGAUGCAGAGGUAGUGUGGGAUGACAAACUCUGUAGAAUCACUGGAUCCUAUGGAGAGCCAUGA
rnacentral:rRNA from 1 species